rnacentral:lncRNA from 1 species
CUCAGAGAUGACGGAGGCGACGGCGUGGUCCUCCGGGCAGUACCAGAUGGAGAAGUCGUAGGUGAAGCGAUGCUGCGCAGACAUGGUGCUGCCAGGGGGCACAGCUGCUCCCACGGCCACGUGGCGGGGAUGGAGGCCGGGCCGCAGCGGGGGCUUUGAAAACGCAGCGCUGUGGGUGCGCUGGGAGCACAGGGAGGCAGGCAGGGCUCAGGGGGGGCUCCCGGUGAGACCCCCGGGCCGGGCCGCGUCCCGAGCUCAGAACGCCUUCUGCCGCAUCUCGGCGAUGUCCCUCUCCAGUGCCGUGCCCGCCCUCUGCAGUUCUUCACGCUUCUCUGCAAGCUCCCCCCGCGCCUCCCGCAGCCGUCGGUUCAUCUCCACGUAACCGCGGCACUGCCGGUACAGCCGCUCCUGCUCCUCCGCGCCGUCCUCCUGCCCUGGCGCGGGGCCGUCACGGUCACCGCCGCUGCCUCGGGGGGGGUCAGCCGGGAGCAGGAGGACGGGGUCGGCCGGGGGUGCGCCCCGCACGUCGGCCAGGAGCUGCUCCACGGUGGGCGGCUCAGGGCGGGUGGGCAAUACCCGCUUGGCCUUGGAGCUCAUGGCGGGGCUCGCUGCACCUCCGGCGCCGCGCGCGCGCGCCCCCCGGCCUCGACAGCGCGC